rnacentral:rRNA from 1 species
UACGUAGGGGGCAAGCGUUGUCCGGAUUUAUUGGGCGUAAAGAGCUCGUAGGCGGUUUGGUAAGUCUGGUGUGAAAUCUCCACGCUCAACGUGGAGGGGCCACCCGAUACUGCCAUGACUGGAGUCCGGUAGAGGAGUGUGGAAUUCCCGGUGUAGCGGUGAAAUGCGCAGAUAUCGGGAGGAACACCCGUAGCGAAGGCGGCACUCUGGGCCGGUACUGACGCUGAGGAGCGAAAGCG